UACGUAGGGGGCAAGCGUUGUCCGGAAUCAUUGGGCGUAAAGAGCGUGUAGGCGGCCAGAUAAGUCCGCUGUGAAAUCUCGAGGCUCAACUUCGAGCUGUCGGUGGAAACUGUCUGGCUAGAGUCCGGAAGAGGAGAAUGGAAUUCCUGGUGUAGCGGUGAAAUGCGCAGAUAUUCGGAGGAACACCAGUGGCGAAGGCGGCUCACUGGUCCGGUACUGACGCUGAGGUGCGAAAGCGUGGG
rnacentral:rRNA from 1 species